rnacentral:tRNA from 1 species
UGCAUCGGCCGGGAUCGAACCCGGGGCGUCCGCGUGGCAGGCGAGCAUUCUACCAUUGAACCAAAAGC